rnacentral:rRNA from 1 species
AGUGAACGCUGGCGGUAGGCCUAACACAUGCAAGUCGAACGGCAGCACAGUAAGAGCUUGCUCUUACGGGUGGCGAGUGGCGGACGGGUGGGGAAUACAUCGGAAUCUACUUUUUCGUGGGGGAUAACGUAGGGAAACUUACGCUAAUACCGCAUACGACCUACGGGUGAAAGCAGGGGAUCUUCGGACCUUGCGCGAUUGAAUGAGCCGAUGUCGGAUUAGCUAGUUGGCGGGGUAAAGGCCCACCAAGGCGACGAUCCGUAGCUGGUCUGAGAGGAUGAUCAACCACACUGGAACUGAGACACGGUCCAGACUCCUACGGGAGGCAGCAGUGGGGAAUAUUGGACAAUGGGCGCAAGCCUGAUCCAGCCAUACCGCGUGGGUGAAGAAGGCCUUCGGGUUGUAAAGCCCUUUUGUUGGGAAAGAAAAGCAGCAGGUUAAUACCCCGCUGUUCUGACGGUACCCAAAGAAUAAGCACCGGCUAACUUCGUG